GNUUGAAUUUGAUCAUGGCUCAGAAUCCNCGCUGGUUAGCGUGCCUAACACAUGCAAGUCGAACGCGAAAGGGGAGCAAUCCCUGAGUAGAGUGGCAAACGGGUGAGUAACACGUGGGUGACCUGCCUUCGAGUGGGGGAUAACGUCCCGAAAGGGACGCUAAUACCGCAUAACAUCCUGCUUUUGGAAAAGUGGAGAUCAAAGCCGGGGAUCGCAAGACCUGGCGCUUGAAGAGGGGCCCGCGCCUGAUUAGCUAGUUGGUGGGGUAAUGGCUCACCAAGGCAACGAUCAGUAUCCGGCCUGAGAGGGCGGACGGACACACUGGGACUGAGACACGGCCCAGACUCCUACGGGAGGCAGCAGUGGGGAAUUGUUCGCAAUGGGCUGCAAGCCUGACGACGCAACGCCAGAGUGGAGGACAGAAGAUCUUCAGAGAGUCGUAAAAUCUGUCG
rnacentral:rRNA from 1 species